rnacentral:misc_RNA from 1 species
AACCUAGCACACCUGCGGUGUGUACCUGCGGAAGGAUCAUUACAGAGAUUGAUGCACCAAGUGCAUCACCUCCAACCCCUUGCGAAAACAACUAUCAUGUGUUGCUUUGGCAGUGUUUCCACUGCCAGAGGUUUACAUAAAAUCAGCUGUUGGAUGUUGUCUGAGUAAACUAUAUGAAUUAUUUAAAACUUUUAACAAUGGAUCU